rnacentral:sRNA from 1 species
CUGGCUAGAACUCCUAGCAUAAGUGAUUCUCCUGCCUCAGUCUCCUUAGUAACGGAGACUAUGGUGAAUUGCUUUAUUUUGUUGUCAUUGUUUUUUGAGACAGAUUCUCCUGUAGCCCAGGCUGACUUUGAAUUCCCUCCCUUCAAUUCCCUGUGUUGUUAAGGGCAACCUUCAAUUUCUGUUCUAGAGUGCUGGGAUUAAAGGCAUGCACCACACCCAUCAUAUCUGCUUUUGUUCGGUGCACAGGAUUGAACCCAGGGCUUUGCACAUAUUAGGCUAGUACCCUACCACUGGGCUACAUAGCCAGCCCCGAGAUGCAUGACCCUAAAUGGGAGUGGCCUCUGAUACAAGAGGAUAGUAUCAGGCUAGCCUUUCUCCAUGGGCUCCAGGUUUGUUAAUAACAUAGGUGGCACUAGGGAAUAAGCUGUGAGUGAAGAGGUUGUGAUUUUGGGGUCCCAACCACUCUGCCUCCCCUUCUUUAGUUGGCCGGUGCUGCCUAGAGAGUUCCAGAUCAGGGAAAAGGGAUAUUUUGAGGGCUGAGCCUCAGUACCGGCAGUGUCCACCAUGGGGCAGUGCCUUGUCACUGGACGGCCCUGACCCAAGAAUCCUGGGGACAGGGAUGGAGCUGCAGGAGAGUGGAAAGAUGGCGGAUAUGCGUCCCAGGCUCCCUUAGGAUCCUGCCUCUCUCACAGUGGACAGGAGCUGGUUCCUCUGCUCUUUUGCCUCACUACUGCCAGAGAGCAGAAAAGGUCCUCAGGGCUACACCCCUAUCGCCCUUGACACGUGGCAAUGGAGCCAGAUGUCAGAGGCCAGACUUCUAGAAACUCGGGGUACCAUGGAGUGGAGAAGAGGAAGAAAGAAUUAGGAGACACUUCUACCCACCUGCAUUUCUCCCCAGGCCCUGAACCAUUUUGGAGAGUUUUGGCUACUGCUCCCUAGAGAACCCAGUCCUCUCUCUGUUGGUUGCUUCAGCAAAAAAGCAGAGCCAAAGAAGACAGAAAGUGAAUAACACGGAUGCGUGCUUAUUUUUAAGUGUGCUAUUUUGUUCCUUUGCAGCAUCCUCUGAGAAAUCUUUCACUAAAAUACUGCUUUCCUACA